UAGUAACUGCGAGUGAAGCGGGAAAAGCUCAAAUUUAAAAUCUGGCGGUCUUUGGCUGUCCGAGUUGUAAUCUAGAGAAGUGUUAUCCGCGCUGGACCGUGUACAAGUCUCCUGGAAUGGAGCGUCAUAGAGGGUGAGAAUCCCGUCUUUGACACGGACUGCCAGGGCUUUGUGAUGCGCUCUCAAAGAGUCGAGUUGUUUGGGAAUGCAGCUCAAAAUGGGUGGUAAAUUCCAUCUAAAGCUAAAUAUUGGCGAGAGACCGAUAGCGAACAAGUACCGUGAGGGAAAGAUGAAAAGAACUUUGGAAAGAGAGUUAAACAGUACGUGAAAUUGCUGAAAGGGAAACGCUUGAAGUCAGUCGCGUUGGCCGGGGAUCAACCUUGCUUUUGCUGGGCGUACUUUCCGGUCGACGGGUCAGCAUCAAUUUUGACCGUUGGAUAAAGGCUGAGGGAAUGUGGCUCCUUCGGGAGUGUUAUAGCCCUUGGUCGCAUACAACGAUUGGGAUUGAGGAACUCAGCACGCCGCAAGGCCGGG
rnacentral:rRNA from 1 species